rnacentral:rRNA from 1 species
UACGAAGGGGGCUAGCGUUGCUCGGAAUGACUGGGCGUAAAGGGCGCGUAGGCGGUUUGUACAGUCAGAUGUGAAAUUCCUGGGCUCAACCUGGGGGCUGCAUUUGAUACGUAUGGACUGGAGUGAGGAAGAGGGUAGUGGAAUUCCCAGUGUAGAGGUGAAAUUCGUAGAUAUUGGGAAGAACACCGGUGGCGAAGGCGGCGACCUGGUCCGUUACUGACGCUGAGGCGCGAAAGCGUGGGGAGCAAACAGG